rnacentral:rRNA from 1 species
UACGGGGGGUGCGAGCGUUGUCCGGAAUCACUGGGCGUAAAGGGCGCGUAGGUGGCCUGAUAAGGGUGUGGUGAAAGUCCGGGGCUCAACCCCGGAUCUGCCGUGCCGACUGUCGGGCUAGAGUACUGUAGGGGCAGGCGGAAUUCCGGGUGUAGCGGUGGAAUGCGUAGAGAUCCGGAGGAAGACCGGUGGCGAAGGCGGCCUGCUGGGCAGUUACUGACACUGAGGCGCGACAGCGUGGGGAGCAAACAGG